rnacentral:rRNA from 1 species
AGCCCAGAGCCUGAAUCAGUGUGUGUGUUAGUGGAAGCGUCUGGAAAGGCGCGCGAUACAGGGUGACAGCCCCGUACACAAAAAUGCACAUGCUGUGAGCUCGAUGAGUAGGGCGGGACACGUGGUAUCCUGUCUGAAUAUGGGGGGACCAUCCUCCAAGGCUAAAUACUCCUGACUGACCGAUAGUGAACCAGUACCGUGAGGGAAAGGCGAAAAGAACCCCGGCGAGGGGAGUGAAAAAGAACCUGAAACCGUGUACGUACAAGCAGUGGGAGCACGCUUAGGCGUGUGACUGCGUACCUUUUGUAUAAUGGGUCAGCGACUUAUAUUCUGUAGCAAGGUUAACCGAAUAGGGGAGCCGAAGGGAAACCGAGUCUUAACUGGGCGUUAAGUUGCAGGGUAUAGACCCGAAACCCGGUGAUCUAGCCAUGGGCAGGUUGAAGGUUGGGUAACACUAACUGGAGGACCGAACCGACUAAUGUUGAAAAAUUAGCGGAUGACUUGUGGCUGGGGGUGAAAGGCCAAUCAAACCGGGAGAUAGCUGGUUCUCCCCGAAAGCUAUUUAGGUAGCGCCUCGUGAAUUCAUCUCCGGGGGUAGAGCACUGUUUCGGCAAGGGGGUCAUCCCGACUUACCAACCCGAUGCAAACUGCGAAUACCGGAGAAUGUUAUCACGGGAGACACACGGCGGGUGCUAACGUCCGUCGUGAAGAGGGAAACAACCCAGACCGCCAGCUAAGGUCCCAAAGUCAUGGUUAAGUGGGAAACGAUGUGGGAAGGCCCAGACAGCCAGGAUGUUGGCUUAGAAGCAGCCAUCAUUUAAAGAAAGCGUAAUAGCUCACUGGUCGAGUCGGCCUGCGCGGAAGAUGUAACGGGGCUAAACCAUGCACCGAAGCUGCGGCAGCGACGCUUAUGCGUUGUUGGGUAGGGGAGCGUUCUGUAAGCCUGUGAAGGUGUGCUGUGAGGCAUGCUGGAGGUAUCAGAAGUGCGAAUGCUGACAUAAGUAACGAUAAAGCGGGUGAAAAGCCCGCUCGCCGGAAGACCAAGGGUUCCUGUCCAACGUUAAUCGGGGCAGGGUGAGUCGACCCCUAAGGCGAGGCCGAAAGGCGUAGUCGAUGGGAAACAGGUUAAUAUUCCUGUACUUGGUGUUACUGCGAAGGGGGGACGGAGAAGGCUAUGUUGGCCGGGCGACGGUUGUCCCGGUUUAAGCGUGUAGGCUGGUUUUCCAGGCAAAUCCGGAAAAUCAAGGCUGAGGCGUGAUGACGAGGCACUACGGUGCUGAAGCAACAAAUGCCCUGCUUCCAGGAAAAGCCUCUAAGCAUCAGGUAACAUCAAAUCGUACCCCAAACCGACACAGGUGGUCAGGUAGAGAAUACCAAGGCGCUUGAGAGAACUCGGGUGAAGGAACUAGGCAAAAUGGUGCCGUAACUUCGGGAGAAGGCACGCUGAUAUGUAGGUGAAGUCCCUCGCGGAUGGAGCUGAAAUCAGUCGAAGAUACCAGCUGGCUGCAACUGUUUAUUAAAAACACAGCACUGUGCAAACACGAAAGUGGACGUAUACGGUGUGACGCCUGCCCGGUGCCGGAAGGUUAAUUGAUGGGGUCAGCGCAAGCGAAGCUCUUGAUCGAAGCCCCGGUAAACGGCGGCCGUAACUAUAACGGUCCUAAGGUAGCGAAAUUCCUUGUCGGGUAAGUUCCGACCUGCACGAAUGGCGUAAUGAUGGCCAGGCUGUCUCCACCCGAGACUCAGUGAAAUUGAACUCGCUGUGAAGAUGCAGUGUACCCGCGGCAAGACGGAAAGACCCCGUGAACCUUUACUAUAGCUUGACACUGAACAUUGAGCCUUGAUGUGUAGGAUAGGUGGGAGGCUUUGAAGUGUGGACGCCAGUCUGCAUGGAGCCGACCUUGAAAUACCACCCUUUAAUGUUUGAUGUUCUAACGUUGACCCGU